GAUAGUAUUCAGAUUUCAGAACGAUGAACCAAUCGAUUCAUAGUGCUCCAAUUACGCAAGUGCCGAUGGCAUCAAUGCUAUGGGGCUGCGUUAGCAGGUGUCAUGCGCGCCCGCCGCUCGUCGCAAGCACCGCGUCGGAAAGCUGAGGCCGCUGCGCCUCGUUCAGGAUGGAGCCGCCUCUGUGCGGCACGCCGGCGGGCGCUCAACUACUUGGUGGCCGGGUCGCGGGGAGCCGCGCCGACAGGCUGCGGCCACGCGCGUUUCCGUGGCUUGCGCUGCCUGGGGAAAGAGCGCCGCGCGCCGUAGCACAAGGAGCCGGACCAGGAGGGGUGCCUCACAACCACCGUCUCGGCUGUUGGUAAGGGAGUUGGCCGUUGGCCGGGUGUCUUGCACGUCGUGCACCGGUGCGACGUCGAGGCUGGGCUCUCCGCUGCCAGCAGAUCGUCGCAGAGGACGACGGGGUCGACGAAAAGAAGAAACGAGGAGAAGGUUGUUCCAGCGUAUCCGGAGAAAGGAAUUCAUCGGAGUUCUUCGUCGAGGCUCUCGGCAGAGGCGUGCUGAUAACGUGUUUUGAGUGAAAAGUAAAGAACGAGAGAGUUUGAUUGAAAGAUGAUCCAUCAGCCUUUAUUGAUGAUAGAAGUGAGGUAUUUAUACCCAGGCGGAAGUAUACAUGGUGUUUGGCGGUCAAAUAAACACAUAGUUACUUGAGAGCCAAGGAAUUACAUAGUUGCCUUGAGAACCAA